UACGUAGGGUGCGAGCGUUAAUCGGAAUUACUGGGCGUAAAGUGUGCGCAGGCGGCAGAGCAAGUCGAGUGUGAAAGCCCCGGGCUUAACUUGGGAAUUGCGCUCGAAACUACUUUGCUGGAGUGUGGCAGAGGAAGGUGGAAUUCCACGUGUAGCGGUGAAAUGCGUAGAGAUGGGGGAGAACACUCGUGGCGAAGGCGGCCAGCUAGACCAGUUCUGACACUGAGGCGCGACAGCGUGGGGAGCAAACAGG
rnacentral:rRNA from 1 species